CAUUUAUUAGAUAAAAAGCCAAUGCAUGCUUUUACAGUAUGAAAAUUGGUGAUUUAUAAUAACUUAGCAAAUCGCAAAGUGAAAACAGGCGAUAAAUCAUUCAAGUUUCUGACCUAUCAGCUUUCGACGGUAUGGUAUUGGCUUACCGUGGCAGUGACGGUUAACGGGGGAUUAGGGUUCGAUUCCGGAGAGGGAGCCUGAGAAACGGCUACCACAUCUAAGGAAGGCAGCAGGCGCGCAAAUUACCCAAUUCUAACAGUUUGAGAGAGGUAGUAACAAGAAAUAACAAUACAAGGCAGUUAAAAUGCUUUGUAAUUGGAAUGAUAGAAAUUUAAACCCUUUUUAAAGUAUCAAUUGGAGGGCAAGUCUGGUGCCAGCAGCCGCGGUAAUUCCAGCUCCAAUAGCGUAUAUUAAAAUUGUUGCAGUUAAAAAGCUCGUAGUUGAAGUUCUGCUAAAAGUAACCGGUCUGCUUUUAAUAAAGGUGGUAUCUUGGUGUGUAUUUAGCAAUGAUGUCCUUUGAAGUGUUUUUUACUUUAUUGUAAUAAAGCAUAUUCAGGACUUUUACUUUGAGAAAAUUAGAGUG
rnacentral:rRNA from 1 species